GCUAGCGACAGGCUUAACACAUGCAAGUCGAGGGGCAGCGGGAAUUGUAGCAAUACGAUUUGCCGGCGACCGGCGCACGGGUGAGUAACACGUAUGCAACCUGCCCAUCGCAGGGGGAUAAGCGGGAGAAAUUCCGUCUAAUACCGCGUAACAUCAUUUACAGGCAUCUGUAGAUGAUCAAAGAAAUUCGGCGAUGGAUGGGCAUGCGGCGCAUUAGCUAGUCGGCGGGGUAACGGCCCGCCGAGGCGACGAUGCGUAGGGGUUCUGAGAGGAAGGUCCCCCACACUGGUACUGAGACACGGACCAGACUCCUACGGGAGGCAGCAGUGAGGAAUAUUGGUCAAUGGGCGAGAGCCUGAACCAGCCAAGUCGCGUGAGGGACGACGGUCCUAUGGAUUGUAAACCUCUUUUGUCGGGGAGCAACGAGACCACGCGUGGUCGAAGAGAGAGUACCCCGAAGAAAAAGCAUCGGCUAACUCCGUGCCAGCAGCCGCGGUAAUACGGAGGAUGCGAGCGUUAUCCGGAUUUAUUGGGUUUAAAGGGUGCCUAGGCGGAAGUUAAAGUCAGGGGGUAAACUGCGGGGUUCAACCCCGUAUCGCCAUUGAAACUGGAUUUCUCGAGUGGGCGAGAAGUACGCGGAAUGCGUGGUGUAGCGGUGAAAUGCAUAGAUAUCACGCAGAACUCCGAUUGCGAAGGCAGCGUACCGGCGCCCAACUGACGCUGAAGCACGAAAGCGUGGGUAUCGAACAGGAUUAGAUACCCUGGUAGUCCACGCAGUAAACGAUGAAUACUAAUUGUUCGGCAAGAGAGAUUGCUGAGUGAUACAGCGAAAGCGUUAAGUAUUCCACCUGGGGAGUACGCCGGCAACGGUGAAACUCAAAGGAAUUGACGGGGGCCCGCACAAGCGGAGGAACAUGUGGUUUAAUUCGAUGAUACGCGAGGAACCUUACCCGGGCUCAAACGACAGGGGCAUAUCAUGGAAACGUGAUAGCCAGCAAUGGUCGCUGUCGAGGUGCUGCAUGGUUGUCGUCAGCUCGUGCCGUGAGGUGUCGGCUUAAGUGCCAUAACGAGCGCAACCCCCAUUGAUAGUUGCUAACAGGUAAAGCUGAGGACUCUAUCGAGACUGCCGGCGCAAGCUGUGAGGAAGGCGGGGAUGACGUCAAAUCAGCACGGCCCUUACGUCCGGGGCGACACACGUGUUACAAUGGCAGGUACAGCGGGAAGCCAUAUGGCGACAUAGCGCAGAACCCGAAAACCUGUCUCAGUUCGGAUUGGAGUCUGCAACUCGACUCCAUGAAGCUGGAUUCGCUAGUAAUCGCGCAUCAGCCACGGCGCGGUGAAUACGUUCCCGGGC
rnacentral:rRNA from 1 species